rfam:Felis catus isolate Cinnamon breed Abyssinian chromosome B3, whole genome shotgun sequence.
GCCUGGGUGGCUCAGUCGGUUGAGCGUCCGACUUCGGCUCAGGUCACGAUCUCACGGUCCGUGAGUUCGAGCCCCGCGUCAGGCU